AUAAAGGAACUUUUUAAUAAAUUCACCGCUUCACUGUUGCUUUUUAUUGUCAUGUUAAACGUAAUUACAAGUUCAAAAUAUGACAAAACACAAUUUUGUUGUACGAGUAUGAAUGCUAAUGUGAUUAGAAAAUUGCAGUCACCAAACUUCAAAACUUCUAGAUUUUCGUAUCUCAAGUUGACAAAAUCUUUUUAUUUGUUUUUUUUUUUUCUUACACUUUGGUAUUUUGUCAUUUAUCUCAGGUAAAUGUAACAUUAAUAUUUUAAUACCGUUUCAUUCCAAAGAGUUUGUACUAUUUUUCCUAUUAUAUUUAGUUUUCACGAAAGAACAUGACAUAACUUUAUCGUUACAUUUUGCGAAACAUUUUUUGAAAAAUGAUGUUUGUUUUUUUUUUGGUCAUAAAUAUAUUGUCAAUGUUUAUUGGAAAACUGUCUAACAUUUUAAAUGUAUUCAUAUUUUUCUAUUGCCAUUUGAAAUAUUCUGCAAAGUUUAUUUAUACUAUGCUGUAUCGUGAAGAAAUUCAUAGCUACUUGAGUACAAACUCAAACGAUAACUAGCUUUACGACGUCGAAACCUAGUAAAAUCUGGGAAAUAAGAUCUAUCUAUCUAUAUUCAUACAAUGUGAUGAAAUACGUUCGUUUUUAUAUUUGUUAUAUUGACUUUCUUCGUUUUAUUAACAUUCCAAUAAAAAUGUCUUCGCUAUUAAACAACAAAUCAUAUCUAACUUUUAUUUCAAUAUAUUUCACUAUAUCACUCGAUAUAAAAUACAUUGA